UAGGACUUCGCAAUGGUUGCAAACUUGGGA
rnacentral:piRNA from 1 species